UACGUAGGGGGCGAGCGUUGUCCGGAUUUAUUGGGCGUAAAGAGCUCGUAGGCGGUUUGGUAAGUCGGGUGUGAAAUCUCCACGCUCAACGUGGAGGGGCCACUCGAUACUGCCAUGACUCGAGUCCGGUAGAGGAGUGUGGAAUUCCCGGUGUAGCGGUGAAAUGCGCAGAUAUCGGGAGGAACACCCGUAGCGAAGGCGGCUCACUGGCCCGGUACUGGACGCUGAGGCACGAAAGCGUGGGGAGCAAACAGG
rnacentral:rRNA from 1 species